rnacentral:lncRNA from 1 species
GAGACGCAGACUCGGUCUCAACCUUUAAGUCUUUACUGAAGACUCAUCUCUUCAGUAGGUCAUAUGAUUGAGUGUAGUCUGGCCCAGGAGUGUGAAGGUGAACGGAAAGGCUCUGGAGCAACGAACCGCCCUUGCUGUCUCUGCCUGGCCGGUUCCCCUCUCUCCACUGGGAUUCUCUUCCUCUAACCCUAUUACAGGGGCUGAGUCACUGGCUUACUGGUGCUCUUCCAUGCCGUCCCUAGGAGGAGUGCGUCACUUGAGUGAGUCACUGAUGUGAUUUUCCUGUCCGGGUUGGCAUCCCCCUCGGGUUCAUGCCGUGGGGGAAAUCUUUGUGGGCUAUACUCAGCCUUGUCUCAGGGUAGUAAGUUGGUGGUUGAAGAUAUCCCUCUAGUGAUGUGGGGGCUGUGCUUUGGCAAAGUGGGUGGGGUUAUAUCCUGCCUGUUUGGCCCUGUCUGCGGGUAUCACCGGACGGGGCCACAGUGUCUCCCGACCCCUCCUGUCUCAGCCUCCAGUAUUUAUGCUGCAGUAGUUUAUGUGUCGGGGGGCUAGGGUCAGUCUGUUAUAUCUGGAGUAUUUCUCCUGUCUUAUCCUGUGUCCUGUGUGAAUUUAAGUUUGCUCCCUCUAAUUCUCUCCCUCUCCCUCUCCCUCCCCUCCUGGAGGACCUGAGCCUAGGACCAUGCCUCAGGGAUACCUGGCCUGAUGACUCCUUGCUGUCCCCAGUCCACCUGGUUGUGCUGCUGCUCCAGUUUCAACUGUUCUGCCUGCGGCUAUGGAACCCUGACCUGUUCACCGGACGUGCUAUCUGUCCCAGACCUGCUGUUUUCAACUCUCUAGAGACAGCAGGAGCGGUAGAGAUACUCUGAAUGAUCAGCUAUGAAAAGCCAACUGACAUUUACUGAGGUGCUGACCUGUUGCACCCUCGACAACCACUGUGAUUAUUAUUAUUUGACCAUGCUGGUCAUCUAUGAACAUUUGAACAUCUUGGCCAUGUUCUGUUAUAAUCUCCACUCGGCACAGCCAGAAGAGGACUGGCCACCCCUCAUAGCCUGGUUCCUCUCUAGGUUUCUUCCUAGGUUCUGGCCUUUCUAGGGAGUUUUUCCUAUCCACCGUGCUUCUACACCUGCAUUGCUUGCUGUUUGGGGUUUUAGGCUGGGUUUCUGUACAGCACUUUGAGAUAUCAGCUGAUGUAAGAAGGGCUAUAUAAAUACAUUUGAUUUGAUUGACAUACAAAUGAUAAGACACACACUCUACACACACGUACACAUGUUGGUCUGAGGUAAAACACUAAAUGUAUUGUAGUUAUGUGGUCUGAGGUAACACACUAAAUGUAUUGUAGAUAUGUGGUCUGACGUAAAACACUAAAUGUAUUGUAGAUAUGUGGUCUGACGUAAAACACUAAAUGUAUUGUAGAUAUGAGGUAACACACUAAAUGUAUUGUAGAUAUGUGGUAGUAGUGGUCUGAGGUAACACACUAAAUGUAUUGUAGAUAUGUGGUCUGAGCUAAAACACUAAAUGUAUUGUAGAUAUGUGGUCUGACGUAAAACACUAAAUGUAUUGUAGAUAUGAGGUAACACACUAAAUGUAUUGUAGAUAUGUGGUAGUAGUGGUCUGAGGUAAAACACUAAAUGUAUUGUAGAUAUGAGGUCUGAGGUAACACACUAAAUGUAUUGUAGAUAUGUGAUGGUAGAGGUCUGAGGUAAAACACUAAAUGUAUUGUAGAUAUGUGGUCUGAGGUAACACACUAAAUGUAUUGUAGAUAUGUGGUCUGAGGUAACACACUAAAUGUAUUAUAGAUAUGUGGUAGUAGUGGUCUGAGGUAAAACACUAAAUGUAUUGUAGAUAUGUGGUAGUAGUGGUCUGAGGUAACACACUAAAUGUAUUGUAGAUAUGAGGUCUGAGGUAAAACACUAAAUGUAUUGUAGAUAUGUGGUCUGAGGUAACACACUAAAUGUAUUGUAGAUAUGUGGUCUGUGGUAACACACUAAAUGUAUUGUAGAUAUGUGGUCUGAGGUAACACACUAAAUGUAUUGUAGAUAUGUGGUAGUAGUGGUCUGAGAUAAUACACUAAAUGUAUUGUAGAUAUGUGGUCUGAGGUAACACACUAAAUGUAUUGUAGAUAUGUGGUAGUAGAGGUCUGAGGUAACACACUAAAUGUAUUGUAAAAAGUGUUAUGAAAUGUAAUGUCAUGUUAUAUUAUUUGAUGUAUAUAACUUCCUUAAUGUUUCUGGUCCCCAGGGUUUCCUUUAUAAAUACAAAUUCUUGUAUUAAUCAAAUCUUCGCUAAUGAUGCAGAGUUUUGCCUAUAAAGCAAUGCCAUUUUCCGUUGGCAGUAGUCACCGUACAUGGUGACAAUAACAAAGAAGAGCCAAAGGUUUGUAACUUAUAAUUCAUAGAUCAUACAAAGUGUUUUCUCAGGACUCUUUUUGAAGAUGUAAAACGUGUAUGUUGAUUUGAUGUGUAUGAGGAAGUGAAUCUAGACGCAGCACUGGAAAAUUCUAAAAUUAUUCUUGACAAUUGUUGACAAGCAUGCACCUGUUAAGAAACUUAACUCAAAUCAAAUUUUAUUGGUCACAUACACAUAUUUAGCAGAUGUUAUUGCGGGUGUAGUGAAAUGCUUGUGUUUCUAGCUCCAACAGUGCAGUAAUAUCUAACAAUUCACAACAAUACACACAAAUCUAAAAGUAAAAUAAUGGAAUAUUUAAAUAUUAGGAUGAGCAAUGUCGGAGUGGUAUUGACUAAAAUACAGUAGAAUAGAAAACAGUAUGUACAUACGAGACGAUUAAAGCAGUAUGUAAACUUUAUUAAAGUACUAGUGUUUGUAACGUCCGUCUGAAGGAGUAGACCGAGGUUUAAUGCUCAUCAUGUAUUUAUUUUGAUCUUAACACUGAAACAAAGAAACCAAUAACGACCAGCCAAACAGUUCUGUCAGGUAUGUAAUACAAAACAGAAAUUAACCACCCACCAAAACACAACGAGAAAACCCCUACAUAAAUAUGGACUCUAAUCAGAGGCAAUGAGAUUCAGCUGCCUCCAAUUAGAGAUCAACCCCAAACAAUUCCAACAUAGAAACAGAAA